CAAUAGCGUAUAUUAACGUUGUUGCAGUUAAAAAGCUCGUGGUUGGAUUUCUGGAGGGAGCGUCGGCCCGUAUUUACGAGUGCGUGACGUCUCUGUCCAUCCUUGCGGGAAGGCACGGCAUUGAUUUGUUGUGUCGGAUCGCAUCAUUUACUGUGAAAAAAUUAGAGUGUUCAAAGCAGGCUUUCGCUUGAAUACAUUAGCAUGGAAUAAUAAGAUAGGACUUUGGUGCUAUUUUGUUGGUUGAGCCUAAAGUAAUGAUUAAUAGGGAUAGUUGGGGGCACCUGUAUUGCGUUGUCAGAGGUGAAAUUCUUGGAUUUACGCAAGACAAACAGCUGCGAAAGCGUCUGCCAAGGAUGUUUUCAUUA
rnacentral:rRNA from 1 species